rnacentral:rRNA from 1 species
AUCGAACGCUGGCGGCAGGCCUAACACAUGCAAGUCGAACGAGUGGCGGACGGGUGUGUAAUGUCUGGGAAACUGCCUGAUGGAGGGGGAUAACUACUGGAAACGGUAGCUAAUACCGCAUACCAUCAGAUGUGCCCUGAUGGGUAUGGCUAGUUGGUGGGGUAACGGCUCACCAAGGAGACGAUCCCUAGCUGGUCUGAGAGGAUGACCAGCCACACUGGAACGGAAACACGGUCCAGACUCCUACGGGAGGAAGCAGUAGGGAAUAUUGCACAAUGGGCGCAAGCCUGAUGCAGCCAAGACGCGUGUAUGAAGAAGGCCUUCGGGUUGUAAAGUACUUUCAGCGGGGAGGCGUUACCCGCAGAAGAAGAACCGGCUAACGCCGUGCCAGCAGCCGCGGUAAUUC